UGGUAAGUAGUUUAAACAAAACAAAUGAUUUCGACUCAUUAGAUUAUGGCCACCAUACUAACCAA
rnacentral:tRNA from 1 species